AAGGAUCAUUAAAAAUCCAUAACAACCCGUUGAAAUGUUUGCCUUUCCUUGGGAAAGGACCCUCGGUCUCCAUUCAAUUCUUUGGAUGAGAAACCAAGGAGGAGGGAAGGAGGAGACCAGUAGUAGGAGGUAGGCCUCAUUGCAAUGCCCCCCUUAUCUAGGUAGGGGGACAUAGGACAAUGAUGAACCACACCACACAGGUAUAUCUUUUCAACCUUAAGGAGUCAUUUGGUUUGGGAACCUUCUGGCUCUUGGUCUCUACCAAGGAGAGUGCCUUAGUCAUAUUAUUAGACAUUUGUAUUUGGGUUCUGGGGGGAAUACAACUUUUAACAAUGGAUCUCUAGGCUCUU
rnacentral:misc_RNA from 1 species